AUGAAUUCGUAGAGCAACAUAUAGUCCAAACUCCCAAGUGUUGUAAGAAUAAAAGAAAUGAGGACCACACAAAUUCUGCUCUUGGGUCUUGCCCUCAUGGUGCUAUCAUCGGACAUGGCAACCAUUGAGGGGGAAGUGCAUUGCGGCCCUGAGAUUGGAACGGGCCGUUGCCGUGCGAUCGCGCCAAUUGCACGACAUGGUGUAGAAACAAUGGUGGCAAGAAUGCUGAGUGUGUUCCCGGAGGAUGCAGGUGUGUAGCAUGCUGGAAAGAGCCCCCCAGCUCGCCAUUAUCAAGCUAGGGCCAUAAUGGCACAAGAGUCUUGGCAAGAGUAUUGUAAGAUACCUUUUAUCUCACAUAAAGCAAGUGAUGUUGAGUCUUUUUCUUUUGCGAGUGAGUGAUGUUGAGUCUUGAGUAGACAAGUUUCGUGCGUGAAGAUCCGUUUGUCCAUGGAAAACAACGGGAUAUACCCUUAUACAAUAAAGGUCCUGACUACCUCGGCUCCUCGUCUA